rnacentral:rRNA from 1 species
UACGGAGGGGGCAAGCGUUGUUCGGAAUUAUUGGGCGUAAAGGGCGCGUAGGCGGCGAGGUAAGUCAGACGUGACAUCCCCCGGCUUAACCGGGGAACUGCUUCUGAUACUGGAUGGCUUGAGAUUGGGAGAGGGAUGCGGAAUUCCAGGUGUAGCGGUGAAAUGCGUAGAUAUGUGGAAGAACACCGGUGGCGAAAGCGAUUUUCUAGCUAUUACCUGACGCUGAGGCGCGAGAGCAAGGGGAGCAAACAGG